AUUCCUACGGGAGGCAGCAGUGAGGAAUAUUGCGCAAUGGGGGAACCCUGACGCAGCGACGCCGCGUGAGUGAGGAAGGCCUUCGGGUCGUAAAGCUCUGUCAGCAGGGAAGAAGUGCUACGUAGUUAAUACCUGCGUAGUUUGACGGUACCUGCAGAGGAAGCACCGGCUAACUCCGUGCCAGCAGCCGCGGUAAUACGGAGGGUGCGAGCGUUGUUCGGAAUCACUGGGCGUAAAGGGCGCGCAGGCGGCUUUAUAAGUCAGAUGUGAAAGCCCACGGCUUAACCGUGGAAGUGCAUUUGAAACUGUGAGGCUUGAGUACCAGAGGGGAAAGUGGAAUUCCCGGUGUAGAGGUGAAAUUCGUAGAUAUCGGGAGGAAUACCGGUGGCGAAGGCGACUUUCUGGCUGGAUACUGACGCUGAGGCGCGAAAGCGUGGGGAGCAAACAGGAUUAGAUACCCUGGUAGUCCACGUCGUAAACGAUGAGAACUAGAUGUUGGAGGUGUUGAUCCCUUCGGUGUCGUAGCAAACGCAUUAAGUUCACCGCCUGGGGAGUACGGUCGCAAGAUUAAAACUCAAAGGAAUUGACGGAAU
rnacentral:rRNA from 1 species